CCCUUAGAUGUUCUGGGCCGCACGCGCGCUACACUGACGGAGUCAACGAGUUGUCCUGCAUCGGAAGGUGUGGGUAAUCUUUUGAAACUCCGUCGUGCUGGGGAUAGAUCUUUGCAAUUUUCGAUCUUGAACGAGGAAUUCCUAGUAAGCGUGAUUCAUCAGAUCGCGUUGAUUACGUCCCUGCCCUUUGUACACACCGCCCGUCGCUACUACCGAUUGAAUGGUUUAGUGAGGCCUCGGGACUGGCGCGCUCGAGUAGCAAUACACCUGCGCGCCGGGAACUUGGUCAAACUUGAUCAUUUAGAGGAAGUAAAAGUCGUAACA
rnacentral:rRNA from 1 species